AACGAACGCUGGCGGCGUGCCUAACACAUGCAAGUCGGACGAGAACGCGGGCUUCGGCCCGUUAGUAAAGUGGCAGACGGGUGAGUAACACGUGGGUAACCUGCCCGAAGGUGGGGGAUAACCCUCCGAAGGAGGGCUAAUACCGCAUGACAUCUCGAGGGCUCCGGCUCUUGAGAUCAAAGCUAGCCUCUACACGUAAGCUAGCGCCAUCGGAGGGACCUGCGGCCCAUUAGCUAGNGGUGAGGUAACGGCUCACCAAGGCUACGAUGGGUAGCCGGCCUGAGAGGGCGAUCGGCCACACUGGAACUGAGACACGGUCCAGACUCCUACGGGAGGCAGCAGUGAGGAAUCUUGCGCAAUGGGGGAAACCCUGACGCAGCGACGCCGCGUGGAGGACGAAGGCC
rnacentral:rRNA from 1 species